GGGUUGUGAGGUUAAGCGACUAAGCGUACACGGUGGAUGCCCUGGCAGUCAGAGGCGAUGAAGGACGUGCUAAUCUGCGAUAAGCGCCGGUAAGGUGAUAUGAACCGUUAUAACCGGCGAUUUCCGAAUGGGGAAACCCAGUGUGACUCGUCACACUAUCAUUAACUGAAUCCA
rnacentral:rRNA from 1 species